CCUACGGGUGGCAGCAGUGAGGAAUAUUGGUCAAUGGGCGCGAGCCUGAACCAGCCAAGUAGCGUGAAGGAUGACUGCCCUACGGGUUGUAAACUUCUUUUAUAAAGGAAUAAAGUGAGGCACGUGUGCCUUUUUGUAUGUACUUUAUGAAUAAGGAUCGGCUAACUCGGUGCCAGCAGCCGCGGUAAUACGGCGGAUCCGAGCGUUCUCCGGAUUUAUUGGGUUUAAGGGGAGCGUAGAUGGGUUGUUAAGUCAGUUGUGAAAGUGUGCGGAUCAACCUGAAAAUUGCAAUUGAUACUGGCAGUCUAGAUUACAGGUGAGGAAGGCGGAAUUCAGGGUGUAGCGGUGAAGUGCGGAGUUCGCACAAAGAACUCCGAUUGCGAAGGCAGCUUACUAAA
rnacentral:rRNA from 1 species